rnacentral:rRNA from 1 species
UACGGAGGGUGCAAGCGUUAUCCGGAUUUAUUGGGUUUAAGGGUCCGUAGGCGGACUCGUAAGUCAGUGGUGAAAUCUCACAGCUCAACUGUGAAACUGCCGUUGAUACUGCGGGUCUUGAGUAAGGUAGAAGUGGCUGGAAUAAGUAGUGUAGCGGUGAAAUGCAUAGAUAUUACUUAGAACACCAAUUGCGAAGGCAGGUCACUAUGUCUUAACUGACGCUGAUGGACGAAAGCGUGGGGAGCGAACAGG